UCUUUGGAGAAGAAACUAUCCAAAUUUCAGAGCCAGAAGGAUAUCAACAAUCCAUAGCCAUGGGCACCCAUCUCAACUGGAACUCGAGGACACUGAGGCACAGAGAUGACUUGCCUUUGGUAUUUUGAACUUUUUUUUUUAAGAUGGCAUUUUGCUCUGUCACCCAGGCUGGAGUGCAGUGGCACAAUCUUGGCUCACUGACUGUAACCUCUGCCUCCCAAGUUCAAGCAAUUCUCAUACCUCAGCCUCCUGAGUAGCUGGGAUUGUAUGUGCGCGCCACCACGUCCAGCUAAUUCUUUGCAUUUUUACUAGAGAUGGGGUUUCACCAUGUUGGCCAGGUCUGUCUCAAAUUCCUGACCUCACGUAAUCCAGUAAUCCACCCACCUAGGCCUCCCAAAGUGCUGAGAUUACAGGCAUGAGCCAACGCGUCCAGCCUUUGGACUAUUUUUUCCUUACUUGUUUCCCAUUCCAUUGUAAUUAUUUACCACACUUCAUUUAUUUAUUUAUUUUUACACAACUAAGAUAUGAGCAUUUCACUGUAUUUUAGAUCUAAUUAGUUAUCUGAGAUGUAAAUAAAGGCUUUGAUUAUUAGGACUUGGUAAGGAAUGUCUGAAGAUUCAUAGAAUGUGCUUCAUCAUGAGAGCUACAAAACAGGGAAUGCGAAACUGCCAACAUACAGUGUGUUCAUGGACAUGACCCAUCCAGAGCAGAUUCCUAUUUCCAA
rnacentral:lncRNA from 1 species